rnacentral:rRNA from 1 species
AGGGUGUAAACGCUGCAGACUUGGUGUUGGGAACCCUUCGGGGGUGCUCAGUGCCGGAGAGAAGUUGUUAAGUCUGCUACUUGGGGAGUACGUCCGCAAGGAUGAAACUUAAAGGAAUUGGCGGGGGAGCACCGCAACGGGAGGAGCGUGCGGUUUAAUUGGAUUCAACACCGUAAACUCACCAGGGAAGACUGUUACAUGAAGGCCGAGAUGAAGACUCUGCUAGAUUUUUCAGAGAGGAGGUGCAUGGCGUCAGUGACU